rnacentral:lncRNA from 1 species
UGGGAGCAAAUUUUUGGCUGAUGUCUGUCUGGUAGUUUGCUUAUCUGUCGGUGUUGUAAAGAAUUCACAUGUGACUUCAUGUGCGAGGUGUGUAAUUGGAUCUGUCCCUGUGCUUAGGUGUUGGGUGUGCCUUUCUCAGAGGCUGUAGGUUGCGCUGGUGGUUAUCUGAGGGCAUUUCCGUGGUCUGUAUUGCUUAGAGGAACUCGCAUCACACAAGGGGGAAUUCAUUUUCAUUUUUUGAGAUUUCUUUUCUUUGCCU